GCCGGGUAGCUACGUUCGGAAAGGAUAACCGCUGAAAGCAUCUAAGUGGGAAGCCCCCCUCAAGAUUAGUUCUCACUGGAACUUUAAGUUCCCUAAAGGACCCUCGAAGACUACGAGGUUGAUAGGCAAGGUGUGUAAGCGCUGUGAGGCGUUGAGCUAACUUGUACUAAUUGUCCGUGAGGCUUGACCAUAUAACU
rnacentral:rRNA from 1 species